rnacentral:rRNA from 1 species
GAUGAACGCUGGCGGCGUGCCUAAUACAUGCAAGUCGAGCGAACAGACGAGGAGCUUGCUCCUCUGACGUUAGCGGCGGACGGGUGAGUAACACGUGGAUAACCUACCUAUAAGACUGGGAUAACUUCGGGAAACCGGAGCUAAUACCGGAUAAUAUAUUGAACCGCAUGGUUCAAUAGUGAAAGACGGUUUUGCUGUCACUUAUAGAUGGAUCCGCGCCGCAUUAGCUAGUUGGUAAGGUAACGGCUUACCAAGGCAACGAUGCGUAGCCGACCUGAGAGGGUGAUCGGCCACACUGGAACUGAGACACGGUCCAGACUCCUACGGGAGGCAGCAGUAGGGAAUCUUCCGCAAAGGGCGAAAGCCUGACGGAGCAACGCCGCGUGAGUGAUGAAGGUCUUCGGAUCGUAAAACUCUGUUAUUAGGGAAGAACAAAUGUGUAAGUAACUAUGCACGUCUUGACGGUACCUAUUCAGAAAGCCACGGCUAACUACGUG